UGCCAGCCGCCGCGGUAAUACGAAGGGUGCCAGCGUUGUUCGGAAUUACUGGGCGUAAAGAGCAUGUAGGCGGAUGAAUUAGUCAGAGGUGAAAUCCCCGAGCUCAACUUGGGAACUGCCUUUGAUACUGGUUGGCUAGAGUUCGGGAGAGGGUAGUGGAAUUCCCAGUGUAGAGGUGAAAUUCGUAGAUAUUGGGAAGAACACCAGUGGCGAAGGCGGCUAACUGGCUCGGUACUGACGCUGAGAUGCGAAAGCGUGGGGAGCAAACAGGAUUAGAUA
rnacentral:rRNA from 1 species